GCGGUGGAGCAUGUGGUUAAUUCGACGCAACGCGAAGAACCUUACCAGGGCUUGACAUCCCCUGACCGCGUAUGAAAGUACGUUUUCACCCUCGGGUGACAGGGAGACAGGUGGUGCAUGGUUGUCGUCAGCUCGUGUCGUGAGAUGUUGGGUUAAGUCCCGCAACGAGCGCAACCCCUACGUUUAGUUGCUAACAGGUGAAGCUGAGCACUCUAGACGAACUGCCGUUGACAAAACGGAGGAAGGUGGGAUGACGUCAAAUCAUCAUGCCCCUUAUGUUCUGGGCUACACACGUGCUACAAUGGCCGGUACAGACGGAGGCGAAGCCGCGAGGCGGAGCAAAUCCGAAAAAGCCGGUCUCAGUUCGGAUUGCAGGCUGCAAUUCGCCUGCAUGAAGUCGGAAUCGCUAGUAAUCGCAGGUCAGCAUACUGCGGUGAAUACGUUCCCGGGCCUU
rnacentral:rRNA from 1 species